GAUAAACGCUGGCGGCGUGCUUAACACAUGCAAGUCGAGCGGUAAGGCCCUUUCGGGGGUACACGAGCGGCGAACGGGUGAGUAACACGUGGGUGACCUGCCCUCAGCUCUGGGAUAAGCCUGGGAAACCGGGUCUAAUACUGGAUAUGACUCCAUGACGCAUGUUGUGGGGUGGAAAGCCUUGUGCGGCUGAGGAUGGGCCCGCGGCCUAUCAGCUUGUUGGGGGUGAUGGCCUACCAAGGCGACGACGGGUAGCCGGCCUGAGAGGGCGACCGGCCACACUGGGACUGAGACACGGCCCAGACUCCUACGGGAGGCAGCAGUGGGGAAUCUUGCGCAAUGGGCGAAAGCCUGACGCAGCGACGCCGCGUGAGGGAUGACGG
rnacentral:rRNA from 1 species